AACUCAGAAUCCAAGUACAGUGCCCUAUAAGGAAUAUUUCUGGUUCUGUUAUUUGAAUGACAGAGUUGUUGCGCAGUAUUUCUAUUCCUUAAAUCUGACUGCAAUGAUGAUGGCAGUUUGGUUUAAUUUCUUCAAUGGAUAUGCUCCAGUUGCUGAGAUCGGGCAGCUAUUGGAAAGAUUGGACCAGAUUUUUCAUUGUCAGCCUUGCAUUUUGUGAGCACAAUAGCUAUUCCGUCGCCCUGAGUGGACUGUGGGCUGAGGGUGGCAGCCUAACAGAGGACUGAGGGGGACAGUUCCUGUGGGAGUUCUUCAUGGGGGAUACACAUGGUGCUGAUUUGAUAGAGUUUCUUUUCAGACUUUGUUGGCCGAUAGAUUUCAGAUCACCUCAGAAUCCAAGUACAGUAUAUAUGACAAAUAUUCCUGGUUCUGUUCUUGGGAUUUCUAUAUCUAUAUCUGACUAAACUGAUGAUGCAGGCAGUUAAUUUUCAUUUCUUCAAUGAAUAUCAAUAUUAAUGCUUCAGUUGCUGAGAUCAGGCAGCCUAAAAAACAGUGAACCAGGCUCAGAAUGGUAUCAGCAGGGUUUCUCUCCUGCAGCAUUGCAUUUGGGAGCACUAUCUUUAUUCCUCCGCAUUGAGUGGACUAUGGGUUGAGAGUGGAAGCCCAGCAUAGGACUGAUGGAAGACAGUUCCUGUGGAGAGUUCUCAUGAUGCUGAUUUGUUAGCGACUUUGUUGGCUGAGAGAUGGCAAUUAACCAUGCCACUUUAACUUAGAAGAGAACUUUAUGAACUACAUGGAGCUGAUAUUGGUACAACACAGUUGUGGAGCUGUAUCUCUUUCAGGAGGAAUACUAUUCCUCAUGCAGGAAUAGACUGUUUGGAUUAAACCAAGCUCAGACUGGUAUCAGCAGGGCUUUCUUUCUGGCAGCCUUGCUCUAUCUGCUCUAUCAGAGCACUAUUACUAUUCCUCCACCUUGAGUGGACUGAGGGCUGAGGGUAGCAGCCUAACACAGAACU